GGUUGUGGCUCAGUGGCACAGUGCUUGCCUAGCAUGCAUGAGGCUCUGGGUUUGAUCGCCGGCACCA
rnacentral:tRNA from 1 species